AUGGGCAGAGCACCUGAGGUCUGCAGUCAGCAGCCCAGUCCGGGUGAUGCCUCCUGGGAAGGGGCCCAGGCUUGGGGGUAAUGGUGUCACUGAUGUGGGUCCCUGGCCCCACUGUGGGGUGUCCAGGGUUGUGCCUACUGGACCGCCCGCCUCACCAUCCCACCCUGCUGAGCCUCCUCCCUCAGCCAUUGUCCAGCUUCGUGUCUGAAGUCCUGGCGUGGGGCUCACCGCCUGCCCCUUGACCGUGGUGUUCGGAUGCAUCUCACAGUGAGUGCCCCAGCAGGGCAAGUUUGGGGGCUGAGCAUCAGGGGCUCUGCCAGAGCAGGUGGCAAUUCCCUGGAAUCUGGGGUCUUGCCUUUGUUUGGAGACCGAGAGACUCACAUUGUGGGAGGGUCACAGGACAUGUCAUCGGCAGUGAAAAGUUUUGUUCCGUUUCCUGCCUCCAGAACUUGGACGUGCUGGAAUCCAAGGAUGGGUGGGAGAGGGGCCGUUUCUGGAGAUGUCUGCCCUCCGGAGCUGGCCCAUGCCGCAGGAUCUCCCGUCACCCCUGCUGCCUUGGUUGGCGAAUUCGGGGCAUGCUGAGCCUUUCCCCUGCGGCCUUUGCACUUCCUACUCUUCCCUCUGCUUAUCAGACUCCCAG
rnacentral:sRNA from 1 species